UGGCGGACGGGUGAGUAACGCGUGAGGAACCUGCCUCAAAGAGGGGGACAACAGUUGGAAACGACUGCUAAUACCGCAUAAGCCCACGGGUCGGCAUCGACCUGAGGGAAAAGGAGCAAUCCGCUUUGAGAUGGCCUCGCGUCCGAUUAGCUAGUUGGUGAGGUAACGGCCCACCAAGGCGACGAUCGGUAGCCGGACUGAGAGGUUGAACGGCCACAUUGGGACUGAGACACGGCCCAG
rnacentral:rRNA from 1 species